CCGAAUGCUUGCAUUCACCGUAAGAAGUUGAGUGGCGGACGGGUGAGUAACACGUGGGUAACCUGCCUAAAAGAAGGGGAUAACACUUGGAAACAGGUGCUAAUACCGUAUAUCUCUAAGGAUCGCAUGAUCCUUAGAUGAAAGAUGGUUCUGCUAUCGCUUUUAGAUGGACCCGCGGCGUAUUAACUAGUUGGUGGGGUAACGGCCUACCAAGGUGAUGAUACGUAGCCGAACUGAGAGGUUGAUCGGCCACAUUGGGACUGAGACACGGCCCAAACUCCUACGGGAGGCAGCAGUAGGGAAUCUUCCACAAUGGACGCAAGUCUGAUGGAGCAACGCCGCGUGAGUGAAGAAGGUCUUCGGAUCGUAAAACUCUGUUGUUAGAGAAGAACACGAGUGAGAGUAACUGUUCAUUCGAUGACGGUAUCUAACCAGCAAGUCACGGCUAACUACGUGCCAGCAGCCGCGGUAAUACGUAGGUGGCAAGCGUUGUCCGGAUUUAUUGGGCGUAAAGGGAACGCAGGCGGUCUUUUAAGUCUGAUGUGAAAGCCUUCGGCUUAACCGGAGUAGUGCAUUGGAAACUGGAAGACUUGAGUGCAGAAGAGGAGAGUGGAACUCCAUGUGGUAGC
rnacentral:rRNA from 1 species